GUGCACGCCUUAGCAGCACAUAUACUAAAAUUAGAACGAUACAGAGAAGAUUAGCAUGGCCCCUGUGCAAGGAUGAUAUGCAAAUUCGUGAAGCAUUCCAUACUUUU
rnacentral:snRNA from 1 species